GCCCGGGUGGUGAAAUUGGUAGACACAACGGACUUAAAAUCCGUCGACCUUAAUCAGUCGUACCGGUUCGAUUCCGGUCUCCGGCACCA
rnacentral:tRNA from 1 species